AUCACUCCCUAAUUGAUUGGCCAAUAAGUUUACCUGGCUACCAUAUAAAAUGGUAGGUAGCGUUGCCCAGAUGGACACCUGGAAACCUGCCUCUGUCACUUCCCAACGCACGCCUUCCUGCCGGCCGCCGCACCAUCCAUGCUUGCCUCACUGGCCUCCAUGCUGUCUUGGUGCAUGGCUUGUUCCACCACGGUGCACUCUCAGGAACAUACACCCUGCCUCAAGUGAUGAGCCGCUGCUACACCGGUGUUGUGGGCCUAAGUCAUCUGGACGUGCAUGGUGCUCACUGCUGCUUUGCUGAGUUUUGGUCCGUGUAUUAUCCAUUGUCAAGACAUUGUUUCCUGCUUCACCGUUCGCGUGCUGUGGCACUGAAGCUAGUGGCAGUGGCGCAGACACCUGCUUUUAGUGUUGGUCUGGCGUGAUCGUGAAUGAAUGUAAUCGUGUAUUAAUGUGUAUGACUGUAACCAUGUGUUAAUGUGUAUGUUCAUUGUUUGUUAUUUGUGUGUGCUGUGUUCACGUAUGCUCGCUGCAGUGGAUCUUUCUUGCAGUGUGUGUGUGUGUGUGUGUGUGGCUUCCUGGGAUCCCCCCGGCCUAUGGUGAUCUGCCUCCCCCAGUAAGCCUCAGCCUUGGUAUCCUUCUAUCUGUUAGUCGUUUUGUAGUAACUAUUUGUUAAUAAAUAUACUUUUAUGGAUGGAACCACGUCUCUUGCAUUCUGAGUAGACGAACUUGUGUGCCAUUACUUAAUCUUGUUACAAUUGAAUCAAUACUUCUCUGGGUGAAAUUCCCAGAGUGGC